ACGCUCUUAGCUCAGCUGGAUAGAGCAACAGCCUUCUAAGCUGUGGGUCAGUGGUUCGAAUCCACUAGGGCGUACCA
rnacentral:tRNA from 2 species